GGACUGUGUUCCUGGAGGGCUGAGAGACCUAGAGCUAAUUGUGUCUGACACCAUCAGGUGGUCCAGAGACAUCUACACAGAACACAUCGUGGGACACCGUCAGUACUAGGAUGAGUAAACGAGACUGGCGGUCAGGGAAAUAAACCACUUCCUUCUCUGACGAACCCAGGGAUGCACCCCAUCCAUGUAACUAUUCACUACACCAAUACUGACUUGGACUACAUACAUACAUUCUAUGGGUGGCAUACCCGAGAUCACUUAUUCACUGACGCUUUAAAAACUCUCGCACCCCAAUCUGGGUCUAUGCUGGUUAUGUAAUAUAUGUAUGUAUCUUGUGAACUUUGUAAUCUCUCAUAACUCAAGCCUGACCUCUGAUGUACAGUACCUUCCUUCUUAAACUUGUGUAAACUUGAUUUUAAACAUUAGCUUUAAUAAAACUUUUACAUCCUUU